rnacentral:rRNA from 1 species
UACACUCCUACGGGAGGCAGCAGUGGGGAAUAUUGCACAAUGGGCGCAAGCCUGAUGCAGCCAUGCCGCGUGUAUGAAGAAGGCCUUCGGGUUGUAAAGUACUUUCAGCGGGGAGGAAGGCAAUACGGUUAAUAACCGUGUUGAUUGACGUUACCCGCAGAAGAAGCACCGGCUAACUCCGUGCCAGCAGCCGCGGUAAUACGGAGGGUGCAAGCGUUAAUCGGAAUUACUGGGCGUAAAGCGCACGCAGGCGGUCUGUCAAGUCGGAUGUGAAAUCCCCGGGCUCAACCUGGGAACUGCAUUCGAAACUGGCAGGCUUGAGUCUUGUAGAGGGGGGUAGAAUUCCAGGUGUAGCGGGGAAAUGCGUAGAGAUCUGGAGGAAUACCGGUGGCGAAGGCGGCCCCCUGGACAAAGACUGACGCGCAGGUGCGAAAGCGUGGGGAGCAAACAGGAUUAGAAACCCCAGUAGUCCCAU